CUUUGUACAGAAAAACCCUUUAUGCUUUUCCCUAGGAUGGCCCUUGCUUGUAGUGCCGUUGUGUAAGAACAGGAUAAAACGGGUGAAUAACCUGCUGUGCAUCAGGAGAAAUACCUAUUUAUUUCUGCAGUGGGAAGUCGUCAACAGAUGGCAGCAGAUGACUGAGAGAGACGUUGGGGACUUCAGUGGGAUCCUGUAGCGUGAGGGGGGGGUCUGAGGAGCACCGGUUAGUGCCUGCUUGGCUUUGGUGCUGCUGCUGGCCUCUCUGCUCCUGGAGUAGAGCUAAAUAUCUGGACUCGGUACUGGUGCCUGGUACUCGGUUCCGCAGAGAUAAAGUUCUUCUGACUUGGAUGCAGUAGGUCCUCAUUGAAGAUCAUAUGGGAGGUGGGAAUAAGCAUGGAUCUCCAAGAUACUGCAACAGAGUAAAGCCUGGUGCUUGAGAGUACCUUUGCCGGAAAUGCGCAGGGGUGACGACCUCCUCCUGAUCCCUUUUGCUUGUUUUCUGCCACAGGACUAAAAUAUUCGCAGUGUGUUCCCUCCUCUGCUCAAGCAGACCUCAUUGCAUUUAAGCGCCAAAAAAGUGGAAUUCCUGAACAGCAGGUGGAAAGAAAGCACAAGAUCAAAAGCACUUCUGGCUGCCAAGAGGACCUGCAGCGCUGCUUGUGGGUGCAUGGAAAAGUCACACAGGCUCCUGGCGGGGUUGGAGACUUUUGGAAGGUCAUCAAGGAGCUUGUUCAGGCAUCCCACAUCAAAAGGCAGCAGGAGGAGCCGCAGCAGCACACGCGGUCCCACGGGGAUGGUGCUAAAGACACCGGUCACCCAUUCGUAGAAGAACGUAACUCGUUUUCCCAUCACAUCUAUGGUAACAGCUCUAAGAAGUUAGUGCUCAGUGGAGCCUGUGGGUAAGAAAAUAAAUUUAAAUGCUCAUAUUGGGUGAAAGCUGGC
rnacentral:lncRNA from 1 species